rnacentral:rRNA from 1 species
CCUAACACAUGCAAGUCGAGCGGUAACAUUUCGAAAGCUUGCUUUUUUUGCUGACGAGCGGCGGACGGGUGAGUAAUGCCUGGGAAUAUGCCUUGAUGUGGGGGAUAACCAUUGGAAACGAUGGCUAAUACCGCAUAAUGCCUACGGGCCAAAGAGGGGGAUCUUCGGACCUCUCGCGUCAAGAUUAGCCCAGGUGGGAUUAGCUAGUUGGUGAGGUAAUGGCUCACCAAGGCGACGAUCCCUAGCUGGUCUGAGAGGAUGAUCAGCCACACUGGAACUGAGACACGGUCCAGACUCCUACGGGAGGCAGCAGUGGGGAAUAUUGCACAAUGGGCGCAAGCCUGAUGCAGCCAUGCCGCGUGUGUGAAGAAGGCCUUCGGGUUGUAAAGCACUUUCAGUCGUGAGGAAGGUAGUUGCGUUAAUAGCGUAAUUAUUUGACGUUAGCGACAGAAGAAGCACCGGCUAACUCCGUGCCAGCAGCCGCGGUAAUACGGAGGGUGCGAGCGUUAAUCGGAAUUACUGGGCGUAAAGCGCAUGCAGGUGGUUUGUUAAGUCAGAUGUGAAAGCCCGGGGCUCAACCUCGGAAUUGCAUUUGAAACUGGCAGACUAGAGUACUGUAGAGGGGGGUAGAAUUUCAGGUGUAGCGGUGAAAUGCGUAGAGAUCUGAAGGAAUACCGGUGGCGAAGGCGGCCCCCUGGACAGAUACUGACACUCAGAUGCGAAAGCGUGGGGAGCAAACAGGAUUAGAUACCCUGGUAGUCCACGCCGUAAACGAUGUCUACUUGGAGGUUGUGGCCUUGAGCCGUGGCUUUCGGAGCUAACGCGUUAAGUAGACCGCCUGGGGAGUACGGUCGCAAGAUUAAAACUCAAAUGAAUUGACGGGGGCCCGCACAAGCGGUGGAGCAUGUGGUUUAAUUCGAUGCAACGCGAAGAACCUUACCUACUCUUGACAUCCAGAGAAGCCAGCGGAGACGCAGGUGUGCCUUCGGGAACUCUGAGACAGGUGCUGCAUGGCUGUCGUCAGCUCGUGUUGUGAAAUGUUGGGUUAAGUCCCGCAACGAGCGCAACCCUUAUCCUUGUUUGCCAGCGAGUAAUGUCGGGAACUCCAGGGAGACUGCCGGUGAUAAACCGGAGGAAGGUGGGGACGACGUCAAGUCAUCAUGGCCCUUACGAGUAGGGCUACACACGUGCUACAAUGGCGCAUACAGAGGGCUGCCAACCAGCGAUGGUGAGCGAAUCCCAAAAAGUGCGUCGUAGUCCGGAUUGGAGUCUGCAACUCGACUCCAUGAAGUCGGAAUCGCUAGUAAUCGUGGAUCAGAAUGCCACGGUGAAUACGUUCCCGGGCCUUGUACACACCGCCCGUCACACCAUGGGAGUGGGCUGCAAAAGAAGUGGGUAGUUUAACCUUUCGAGGAGGACGCUCACCAC